rnacentral:rRNA from 1 species
AUUGAACGCUGGCGGCAGGCCUAACACAUGCAAGUCGAGCGAGCGGGGGACGGGGGUGUAAUGUCUGGGAAACUCCCCGAGGGAGGGGGAGAUCUACUCGAAACGGUAGCAAUAACCGCAUACCAUCAGAGGUGCCCAGAUGGGAGUAGCUGGUGGGUGGGGUAAUGGCUCACACAGGCGACGCGCCCUAGCUGGUCUGAGAGGGUGAACAGCCACACUGGAACUUAGACACGGUCCAGACUCCUACGGUAGGCAGCAGUGGGGAAUAUUGCACAAUGGGCGCAAGCCUGAUGCAGCCAUGCCGCGUGUGUGAAGAAGGCCUUCGGGUUGUAAAGCACUUUCAGCGGGGAAGCGUUACCCGCAGAAGAAGCACCGGCUAACUCCGUGCCAGCAGCCGCGGUAAUUC